rnacentral:rRNA from 1 species
UGGGGAAUAUUGCACAAUGGGCGAAAGCCUGAUGCAGCGACGCCGCGUGAGGGAUGACGGCCUUCGGGUUGUAAACCUCUUUCAGCAGGGAAGAAGCGAAAGUGACGGUACCUGCAGAAGAAGCGCGCGUAACUACGUGCCAGCAGCCGCGGUAAUACGUAGGGCGCAAGCGUUGUCCGGAAUUAUUGGGCGUAAAGAGCUCGUAGGCGGUUAGUCGCGUCUGCUGUGAAAACUCGAGGCUCAACCUCGGGCUUGCAGUGGGUACGGGCUGACUAGAGUGCGGUAGGGGUGACUGGAAUUCCUGGUGUAGCGGUGGAAUGCGCAGAUAUCAGGAGGAACACCGAUGGCGAAGGCAGGUCACUGGGCCGCAACUGACGCUGAGGAGCGAAAGCAUGGGGAGCGAACAGGAUUAGAUACCCUGGUAGUCCAUGCCGUAAACGUUGGGCACUAGGUGUGGGGUCCAUUCCACGGAUUCCGUGCCGCAGCAAACGCAUUAAGUGCCCCGCCUGGGGAGUACGGCCGCAAGGCUAAAACUCAAAUGAAUUGACGGGGUCAUAGCUGUUUCCU